CCUACGGGAGGCAGCAGUGAGGAAUAUUGGUCAAUGGACGAGAGUCUGAACCAGCCAAGUAGCGUGAAGGAUGACUGCCCUAUGGGUUGUAAACUUCUUUUAUAUGGGAAUAAAAUGUUCCACGUGUGGGAUUUUGUCUGUACCAUAUGAAUAAGGAUCGGCUAACUCCGUGCCAGCAGCCGCGGUAAUACGGAGGAUCCGAGCGUUAUCCGGAUUUAUUGGGUUUAAAGGGAGCGUAGGUGGAUUGUUAAGUCAGUUGUGAAAGUUUUCGGCUCAACCGUAAAAUUGCAGUUGAAACUGGCAGUCUUGAGUACAGUAGAGGUGGGCGGAAUUCGUGGUGUAGCGGUGAAAGGCUUAGAUAUCACGAAGAACUCCGAUUGCGAAGGCAGCUCACUGGACUGCAACUGACACUGAGGCUCGAAAGUGUGGGUAUCAAACAGGAGUAGAGACCCUUGUAGUC
rnacentral:rRNA from 1 species